UCCAGGGUAUCCUAGUGGACAUGGCACCUGCCCGGUAAGCAGAAGGUUGUGGGUUCGAUUCCCGCCCCUGGAC